UCGAGUGCUGCAUGGUGUCGUCAGCUCGUGUCGUGAGAUGUGGCUCCAAGUGCCAUAACGAGCGCAACCCUUCCCCGGCCAGUUACCAUCAAGUGAAGUUGGGGACUCUGGCGGGACUGCCACCGUAAGGUGUGAGGAAGGCGGGGAUGACGUCAAAUCAGCACGGCCCUUACGUCCGGGGCGACACACGUGUUACAAUGACGCCUACAGAGGGAAGCCACCCGGCGACGGGGAGCAGAUCUCGAAAAGGCGCCUCAGUUCGGACUGGAGUCUGCAACCCGACUCCACGAAGCUGGAUUCGCUAGUAAUCGCGCAUCAGCCAUGGCGCGGUGAAUACGUUCCCGGGCCUUGUACACACCGCCCGUCAAGCCAUGAAAGCCGGGGGCGCCUGAAGUCCGCGACCGCAAGGAGCGGCCUAGGGCGAAACUGGUAAUGGGGCUAAGUCGUAACAAGGUAACCUAAUCCUUAGAGCAUCGCGAGGUACCGAG
rnacentral:rRNA from 1 species